GCCGUUUCUCGACGAGAUCUGAGGUGUAGAGGGGUCAAUGGCAUGAGACCGAUACAGCCAUGGGUGGCUGGUUGCCGAUGAGAGAGGGAGGACGACGGUAGUGUCAAUUUGGGGUGGUUCGUCGGCCUGGUUAUGCUGGAAAUGGCGAUAGUGGCACCAAAAAAAGGAGAAAAAAAGGAUGGUGGUGGUGCGUUGGCGG
rnacentral:lncRNA from 1 species